UGUGUAGGUGGACUGGUAAGUACCUUGUGAAAUCCCACGGCUCAACUGUGGAACUGCUUGGUAUACUGCUGGUCUUGAGCAACCUAGGGGCGAGCGGAACAAAUGGUGGAGCGGUGAAAUGCGUAGAUAUCAUUUGGAACGCCAAUGGUGAAAACAGCUCGCUGGGGGUUUGCUGACACUGAGACACGAAAGCCAGGGGAGCGAACGGGAUUAGAUACCCCGGUAGUCCUGGCCGUAAACGAUGUCCACUAGAUCGCAGUGCCUCUGACGGUAUCGCGGUCGAAGCAAAAGUGCUAAGUGGACCGCCUGGGAAGUACGGUCGCAAGGCUAAA
rnacentral:rRNA from 1 species